rnacentral:misc_RNA from 1 species
GAGAGAGAGAGAGAGAGAGAGUAAUUGUAGUAUUAUUGAAUUCUUCAUUUACUGAAAUUAGUUACAAUAUUAUUCCUAUUUAUGCAAUAUAUUCUCUUAUACAUUCUCACAGCUACCAUCCUCUUUAUCAUAACACAAUACAAAAGAAUGAGCACUUUGAAGUUAUAAGAGAUAAGUAGUGAUAGGCAGACCUAAGAAGAUGUGGGGCCUGGGAAGGUGGGGCC